GGUCCCAUGGUGUAGUGGUUAUCACAGCUGGUUGCUGUCCAGUAGGUCCUGGGUUCGACUCCCAGUGGGACCA
rfam:Sarcophilus harrisii ctg7180001446682, whole genome shotgun sequence.